rnacentral:lncRNA from 1 species
GUUGUUUCAGAAACAAUGAAAGAUAGAUUCAGUCUUCAAAAGGAAAGUGUUAUGCUAAGGAAGAUUAAAAUGUAAAGAAACUACUAUACUACAAAGCAAGAUUUAAGAAAAGUCACAUUUUAAAUAAUGGGCAAGGAGCAGUUUACUCAAAAGAUCAUGGAAUGUAGAAAACUUGGGAAUGCUGACCUACAAAGCCCGAAGAGUGCUGUAAACAGAGCUUUAAUGGCUGUUCAGGUUGCUUUGGUCAUGGUGUUUUAUCACAGUAACAGAAAAAUCAAUGCAUCUGAGGAGUAAGAGAGACUGAUGAUCUGCUCCAAGGAGGCUGCUCACAAAUGAUCCCUCAGAGUCACAACAGAGCAUCAACGAACAAUGAACAGUGUCUAUGGGGACUUGGUUCUUUCAGGUCUGCUUUAACUUAUGCUUGCAAAGCACAGACCUCAGGACUGACUCACAGAAGGCUCUUCUCUGACAGAACAACAGCUUUCCACAAUUUGGGAAAGCACAGACCACCUUUAUCUAAGAUUUCAGCAGAAGGACCUAUUACUGUUCAUUCGAUAAUGGGACAUUGUAAUGAAACUGAGAUAAUAAAAAGCAUAUGUGUUUGGAACUGGUUCAAA